rnacentral:rRNA from 1 species
UUAAGCUACUAAGAGCACAGGGUGAAUGCCUUGGCACCAAGAGCCGAUGAAGGACGUGAUAAGCUGCGAAAAGCUGUGAGGAGGAGCAAAUAUCCAUUAUAUUCACAGAUAUCCGAAUGAGGAAACUCUAGUUAGGAAAAAAGCUAACUAAUCCAUACAUGAGUAAAGUAGUGUAUGUGAGGGGAACGUAGGGAACUGAAACAUCUAAGUACCUACAGGAAAAGAAAGAAAACUCGAUUCCUUGAGUAGUGGCGAGCGAAAGAGGAAGAGCCUAAACCAAGAGAAGUAAUUUUCUUGGGGUUAUGGACUACAUAAAUGAUUCAAUAGAUUUAGCAGAACUGUUUGGAAAAGCAGACCAAAGAUAGUGAAAGUCUAGUAAGCGAAAAAUCGAAAGACAUGGUAGUAUCCGGAGUAGUGCGAGACACGGGAAAUCUCGUAUGAAAAAGUGGGGACCACCCCAUAAGGCUAAAUACUACUUGGUGACCGAUAGUGGAACAGUACCGUGAGGGAAAGGUGAAAAGAACCCCGGGAGGGGAGUGAAAGAGAACCUGAAACCCUGUGUUUACAAGCAGACAAAGCACGUUAAGGUGCGAUGUCGUACUUUUUGUAGAACGGUCCGGCGAGUUAUUUUAUAUGGCAAGGUUAAGUACUAUUAAGGUACGAAGCCGAAGCGAGAGCGAGUCUGAAAAGGGCGAGUAAGUCAUAUGAAAUAGACCCGAAACCGAGUGACCUAUCCAUGGUCAGGAUGAAGCUUGAGUAAAAUCAAGUGGAGGUCCGAACCCAUAAGCGUUAAAAAGCUUCGGGAUGAACUGUGGAUAGCGGAGAAAUUCCAAUCGAACUCGGAGAUAGCUGGUUCUCCUCGAAAUAGUUUUAGGACUAGCCUUGUUUAGUAGUAUGUGGGGGUAGAGCACUGAAUGAGCUAGGGGCCAAACCAGGUUACUGAACUCUAUCAAACUCCGAAUACCAUGUACGUAAGAACAGGAGUCAGACUGCGGGAGCUAAGUUCCGUGGUCAAAAGGGAAAGAGCCCAGAUCGUCAAUUAAGGUCCCAAAGAUAUAGUUAAGUGGAAAACGAUGUGAUUUUGCGUAAACAACCAGGAUGUUGGCUUAGAAGCAGCCAUUCAUUUAAAGAGUGCGUAAUAGCUCACUGGUCGAGUGGAGUUGCGCGGAAAAUUACCGGGGCUAAACUAUACACCGAAAUUGCGGAUUCAUGAGUAAUCAUGAGUGGUAGAGGAGCAUUCUAUAGUAGGACGAAGGUAGAUCGAAAGGACUGCUGGACGAGAUAGAAGAGAGAAUGCCGGAAUAAGUAGCGAAAGCAUGGUGAGAAUCCAUGCCAUCGAAAGUCUAAGGUUUCCUGGGGAAGGUUCGUCCGCCCAGGGUAAGUCGGGACCUAAGGAGAGGCCGAAAGGCGUAUCUGAUGGACAGCAGGUAGAAAUUCCUGCACCACCGAUAUACUUAAAAAAUGCAAGGGACACAGUAGUGGAAGGAAAGCGAGGAAGAGGAAAGACUCGUAUCGAAAGAUAUAGUGAAAAAAUAAGUAACGAAUUUCCAAGAAGCACACUGGCGAGAAAAGCUUGUAGGAAUUGUAUAAAGGUGCCCGUACCGCAAACCGACACAGGUAGAUGAGGAGAGGAUCCUAAGAUGAGCGAGAGAAGCAUUGUUAAGGAACUCGGCAAAUUGACCCCGUAACUUAGGGAGAAGGGGUGCCAAAGUAAAAUUUGGUCGCAGAGAAGAGGCCCAAGCAACUGUUUAACAAAAACACAGGUUUCUGCUAAAUCGAAAGAUGAAGUAUAGGAGCUGACGCCUGCCCAGUGCUGGAAGGUUAAGGGGAAGAGUUAGAUGUAAGUCGAAGCUUAGAACCAAAGCCCCAGUGAACGGCGGCCGUAACUAUAACGGUCCUAAGGUAGCGAAAUUCCUUGUCAGGUAAGUUCUGACCCGCACGAAAGGCGUAAUGAUUUGGGCGCUGUCUCGACAAUGUACUCGGCGAAAUUGUAGUACUAGUGAAGAUGCUAGUUACCUGCGACAAGACAGAAAGACCCCAUGGAGCUUUACUGUAGCUUGAUACUGGGUUUCGAUAAUUUAUGUACAGGAUAGGUGGGAGGCGAAGAAGCAAUUGCGCCAGCAGUUGUGGAGUCAUCCUUGGGAUACCACCCUUAAGUUAUUGAAAUUCUAACCUGUAGUCCUGAGCGGGCUAGGGGACAAUGUCAGGCGGGCAGUUUGACUGGGGCGGUCGCCUCCAAAAGAGUAACGGAGGCGCGCAAAGGUUUCCUCAGCGCGGACAGAAAUCGCGCGAAAGAGUGCAAAGGCAGAAGGAAGCUUAACUGAGAGACUGACAAGUCGACCAGAUACGAAAGUAGGUCUUAGUGAUCCGGCGGUAGUGAGUGGAAAUGCCGUCGCUCAACGGACAAAAGUUACCCUGGGGAUAACAGGCUUAUCUCCCCCAAGAGUUCACAUCGACGGGGAGGUUUGGCACCUCGAUGUCGGCUCAUCACAUCCUGGAGCGGAAGUACGUUCCAAGGGUUGGGCUGUUCGCCCAUUAAAGUGGUACGCGAGCUGGGUUCAGAACGUCGUGAGACAGUUCGGUCCUUAUCUGUCGCAGGCGAAGGAUAUUUGAGGGGAGUUGACCUUAGUACGAGAGGACCAGGUUGAACUUACCAAUGGUGUAUCAGUUGUCGUACCAACGGCACGGCUGAGUAGCUAAGUAGGGAAGGGAUAAACGCUGAAAGCAUCUAAGUGUGAAGCCCACCCCAAGAUAAGAUAUCCCAUACCGUAAGGUAGUAAGAUUCCACGUAGACUAUGUGGUAGAUAGGUUGGAGGUGUAAGUGCAGUAAUGCAUUAAGCUGACCAAUACUAAUAAAUCGAGGGCUUAACCAC